rnacentral:rRNA from 1 species
CUACGGGAGGCAGCAGUGGGGAAUAUUGCACAAUGGGCGAAAGCCUGAUGCAGCAACGCCGCGUGAGGGACGACGGCCUUCGGGUUGUAAACCUCUUUUAGCAGGGAAGAAGCGAAAGUGACGGUACCUGCAGAAAAAGCACCGGCUAACUACGUGCCAGCAGCCGCGGUAAUACGUAGGGUGCAAGCGUUGUCCGGAAGUAUUGGGCGUAAAGAGCUCGUAGGCGGUUUGUCGCGUCUGCUGUGAAAAUCCGAGGCUCAACCUCGGACCUGCAGUGGGUACGGGCAAACUAGAGUGCGGUAGGGGAGAUUGGAAUUCCUGGUGUAGCAGUGGAAUGCGCAGAUAUCAGGAGGAACACCAAUGGCGAAGGCAGAUCUCUGGGCCGUAACUGACGCUGAGGAGCGAAAGCGUGGGGAGCGAACAGGAUUAGAUACCCGAGUAGUC